GCUUGUGGCCAUACCACCCUGAACACGCCUGUUCAGGGUCGGGCCUGGUUAGUACUGGGACGGCAGACCGCCUGGGAAUACCAGGUGCCAUAAACG
rnacentral:rRNA from 1 species